AGUGAACGCUGGCGAUAGGCCUAACACAUGCAAGUCGAACGGCAGCACAGUAAGAGCUUGCUCUUACGGGUGGCGAGUGGCGGACGGGUGAGGAAUACAUCGGAAUCUACUUUUUCGUGGGGGACAACGUAGGGAAACUUACGCUAAUACCGCAUACGACCUACGGGUGAAAGCAGGGGAUCUUCGGGCCUUGCGCGAUUGAAUGAGCCGAUGUCGGAUUAGCUAGUUGGCGGGGUAAAGGCCCACCAAGGCGACGAUCCGUAGCUGGUCUGAGAGGAUGAUCAGCCACACUGGAACUGAGACACGGUCCAGACUCCUACGGGAGGCAGCAGUGGGGAAUAUUGGACAAUGGGCGCAAGCCUGAUCCAGCCAUACCGCGUGGGUGAAGAAGGCCUUCGGGUUGUAAAGCCCUUUUGUUGGGAAAGAAAAGCAGCAGGUUAAUACCCCGCUGUUCUGACGGUACCCAAAGAAUAAGCACCGGCUAACUUCGUG
rnacentral:rRNA from 1 species